CAGGGAUCAUCGUCUGACGUAUUGUCCGGUCUUUUACUGCUUAAAUACGUCUUCCUUUCUUGUAAUUCUUUGGCCCCUAGACUCUGCAAUGACCAACAAAGAAAAUGCAUUUUCACAUUACUUUGUCCAAAUUUAACGUAGUCGUAAUUUAAUUGAUCAUAGAAAACAUUUUGCCGUACGCACGAAUGCCUAAAUCUUGAUGGGAAUUGUUUGCAUGCAAUGUUGAAAUGCGUUUUCUUUUGGCGUAAAAUUUUUACUUGUAUGAUACACAUCCACUCCAUUCUUGCUUACUGAAGACUUUUUGCCAAAAUUUUGAAUCCUGCAGUUUUUAAUUUCUAUCUCAUACAAGCUUGCUGGCCUUCGUCAGGAAACAGGGUACAGUAAUCACAUGGUCCCUUUUGAGUCUUUCGUCUGACCUAUACACAUGUCUUGGAACAACUAAUUAUGUGGAGGUGAUGCGUCAAUUUGGGACUUGAGUUGUCAGCAGUUGGUAGAAAAGAACAUAGAUGGGAUCACAGUUUUUUUCACAUUCAUCUUAAGAAUACUGGGUCGGUCGCUGUUUAUGGAACAUUCGCGUCUAUUCAGGCCAAAAGUACGACAAAUCUAUCCACAUCGAACAUGAAGCCGAUUACCGUAUUGUACAUAGAAAUGUUUGAAGAUGGAAUGGACGAGAUGCAUGUUGGAGUAAUGUUCCAGAAAGCAGCAUUUCAGGGACAAGAAUCCAAGUUGAAGGCUGAUCAACAUAUCAUAUAUUGUUCAACUUGUUUUCCUUUGCUCCUUGGUGAAUUAAAUUGGAAGUUAUUGAACUAAUUUGCCAAUCAGUUAAAUGGAAUUUGUGAAAAUAUCAGAACGGAGUAAUGCGCAAAAUUUGGAGUCGAAAAAAGUGUUUGCGUGUGGUGAAUACUAAGAAAGUCUGUUUGCACUUCCAGAAAUUUGAAGGCUUGGGACAAGAAACAGGCUGUAGAUGGUGGAAUUUGCAUUGCAAGUCAAAAUCGUGUGUUAUUGCCUGUCGACCAUUAAGUAACCA